ACUCCUACGGGGAGGCAGCAGGUGGGGGGAAUGAGGGUUGCACAAUGGGGGAAACCCUGAUGCAGCCAUGCCGCGUGUGUGAAGAAGGCCUUCGGGUUGUAAAGCACUUUCAGUAGGGAGGAAGGUAGUGUAGUUAACACCUGCACUAUUUGACGUUACCUACAGAAGAAGCACCGGCUAACUCCGUGCCAGCAGCCGCGGUAAUACGGAGGGUGCGAGCGUUAAUCGGAAUUACUGGGCGUAAAGCGCAUGCAGGCGGCCUGUUAAGUCAGAUGUGAAAGCCCGGGGCUUAACCUCGGAAUUGCAUUUGAAACUGGCAGGCUAGAGUCUUGUAGAGGGGGGUAGAAUUUGCAGGGUGUAGCGGUGAAAUGCAGUAGAGAUCUGAAGGAAAUACCAAGUGGCGAAGGCGGCCCCCCUGGACAAAGACCUGACAGCUCAGAUGCGAAAGCGUGGGGAGCAAACAGGAUUAGAUACCCUGGUAGGAUA
rnacentral:rRNA from 1 species